UUUUCAAUUCUUUCUAUAUUGUUAC
rnacentral:other from 1 species